UUGAACGCUGGCGGCAGGCCUAACACAUGCAAGUCGAGCGGUAGCACAGAGAGCUUGCUCUCGGGUGACGAGCGGCGGACGGGUGAGUAAUGUCUGGGAAACUGCCUGAUGGAGGGGGAUAACUACUGGAAACGGUAGCUAAUACCGCAUAAUGUCGCAAGACCAAAGUGGGGGACCUUCGGGCCUCAUGCCAUCAGAUGUGCCCAGAUGGGAUUAGCUGGUAGGUGGGGUAACGGCUCACCUAGGCGACGAUCCCUAGCUGGUCUGAGAGGAUGACCAGCCACACUGGAACUGAGACACGGUCCAGACUCCUACGGGAGGCAGCAGUGGGGAAUAUUGCACAAUGGGCGCAAGCCUGAUGCAGCCAUGCCGCGUGUGUGAAGAAGGCCUUCGGGUUGUAAAGCACUUUCAGCGGGGAGGAAGGCGGUGAGGUUAAUAACCUCAUCGAUUGACGUUACCCGCAGAAGAAGCACCGGCUAACUCCGUGCCAGCAGCCGCGGUAAUACGGAGGGUGCAAGCGUUAAUCGGAAUUACUGGGCGUAAAGCGCACGCAGGCGGUCUGUCAAGUCGGAUGUGAAAUCCCCGGGCUCAACCUGGGAACUGCAUUCGAAACUGGCAGGCUAGAGUCUUGUAGAGGGGGGUAGAAUUCCAGGUGUAGCGGUGAAAUGCGUAGAGAUCUGGAGGAAUACCGGUGGCGAAGGCGGCCCCCUGGACAAAGACUGACGCUCAGGUGCGAAAGCGUGGGGAGCAAACAGGAUUAGAUACCCUGGUAGUCCACGCUGUAAACGAUGUCGAUUUGGAGGUUGUGCCCUUGAGGCGUGGCUUCCGGAGCUAACGCGUUAAAUCGACCGCCUGGGGAGUACGGCCGCAAGGUUAAAACUCAAAUGAAUUGACGGGGGCCCGCACAAGCGGUGGAGCAUGUGGUUUAAUUCGAUGCAACGCGAAGAACCUUACCUGGUCUUGACAUCCACAGAACUUAGCAGAGAUGCUUUGGUGCCUUCGGGAACUGUGAGACAGGUGCUGCAUGGCUGUCGUCAGCUCGUGUUGUGAAAUGUUGGGUUAAGUCCCGCAACGAGCGCAACCCUUAUCCUUUGUUGCCAGCGGUUAGGCCGGGAACUCAAAGGAGACUGCCAGUGUUAAACUGGAGGAAGGUGGGGAUGACGUCAAGUCAUCAUGGCCCUUACGACCAGGGCUACACACGUGCUACAAUGGCAUAUACAAAGAGAAGCGACCUCGCGAGAGCAAGCGGACCUCAUAAAGUAUGUCGUAGUCCGGAUUGGAGUCUGCAACUCGACUCCAUGAAGUCGGAAUCGCUAGUAAUCGUAGAUCAGAAUGCUACGGUGAAUACGUUCCCGGGCCUUGUACACACCGCCCGUCACACCAUGGGAGUGGGUUGCAAAAGAAGUAGGUAGCUUAACCUUCGGGAGGGCGCUUACCACUUUGUGAUUCAUGACUGGGGUG
rnacentral:rRNA from 1 species